GAUGAAGAACGUAGCGAAAUGCGAUACGUAAUGUGAAUUGCAGAAUUCAGUGAAUCAUCGAAUCUUUGAACGCACAUUGCGCCCCUUGGUAUUCCGAGGGGCAUGCCUGUUCGAGCGUCAUUAUAACCCUCAAGCUCAGCUUGGUGUUGGGGCCUGCUGCACUGGCAGCCCUUAAAAUCAGUGGCGGCGCCAUCUGGCUCUAAGCGUAGUAAUUCUUCUCGCUAUGGAGUCCUGGUGGAUGCUUGCCAUCAACCCCCAAUUUUUCUAUGGUUGACCUCGGAUCAGGUAGGGAUACCCGCUGAACUUAAGCAUAUCAAUAAGCGGAGGA
rnacentral:misc_RNA from 1 species